CCUACGGGUGGCUGCAGUGAGGAAUAUUGGUCAAUGGACGAGAGUCUGAACCAGCCAAGUAGCGUGAAGGAUGACUGCCCUAUGGGUUGUAAACUUCUUUUAUAUGGGAAUAAAAUGUUCCACGUGUGGGAUUUUGUAUGUACCAUAUGAAUAAGGAUCGGCUAAGUCCGUGCCAGCAGACGCGGUAAUACGGCGGAUCCGAGCGUUAUCCGGAUGUAUUGGGUUUAAAGGGAGAGGAGGUGGAUUUUUAAGUAAGUUGUGAAAGUUUGCGGCUCAACCGUAAAAUUGCAGUUGAAACUGGCAGUCUUGAGUACAGUAGAGGUGGGCGGAAUUCGUGGUGUAGCGGUGAAAUGCUUAGAUAUCACGAAGAACUCCGAUUGCGAAGGCAGUUCACUGGACUGCAACUGACACUGAGGCUCGAAAGUGUGGGUAUCAAACAGGAUUAGAUACCCCUGUAGUC
rnacentral:rRNA from 1 species